rnacentral:rRNA from 1 species
UACGGAGGGGGCUAGCGUUGUUCGGAAUUACUGGGCGUAAAGCGCACGUAGGCGGCUUUGCAAGUUAGAGGUGAAAGCCCGGGGCUCAACUCCGGAAUUGCCUUUAAAACUGCAUCGCUAGAAUUGUGGAGAGGUAAGUGGGAUUCCGAGUGUAGAGGUGAAAUUCGUAGAUAUUCGGAAGAACACCAGUGGCGAAGGCGACUUACUGGACACAUAUUGACGCUGAGGUGCGAAAGCGUGGGGAGCAAACAGG